CAAAAUAUGAGAAUAAAAGGCUGUGGUUAGUGUUUGUAGCUUUUCUUACAAUAUCAUGGACACGAAAUCUAACCUAAUCUCUCAGAAAUAAAGGUGGCAAAAUAUACUUUUCAUUUUGGCAGGGUACCAUCAUGGGUAUAUCUUUUUUGUUCCUUUAAUUUUGUUCCUUUUGCCUGGGAAUGUCUAUGUGGUGUACCUUUCCUUUGCUUCUAAACUAAACUUUAAGUGGUCCUUAAGCUUGAUACAUUUAAAGAUUUACUGUAUUCAUGUUUUCAGGCUUAACCUGAAACUUGUAACCUUUAAAAAACAACAACAACAAUGUGUGUAUUUGUUGAUUUGGUGAUUUUUUUUUUUUUUUUUUUUGGAAGAGACGAUUAUUUAGCAUAUAUGGAAGGAGCCUCCAGUGUCAGCACUUUGUAACAGACAGCUGCAAGUGUUGCAGAUGGAAGCUGGUUCUUUGUAACAUGACAACGGAACAGACCAUCUGUUUAAAAUGUUUGAAAUACCCGAGGGGAGGAUUUUGUUCCUAAACUUUCACUUGGGAGAAGAAGACUUCUG
ensembl:lncRNA